rnacentral:rRNA from 1 species
AAUGGGCGCAAGCCUGAUGCAGCCAUGCCGCGUGUGUGAAGAAGGCCUUCGGGUUGUAAAGCACUUUCAGUCAGGAGGAAAGGUUAGUAGUUAAUACCUGCUAGCUGUGACGUUACUGACAGAAGAAGCACCGGCUAACUCCGUGCCAGCAGCCGCGGUAAUACGGAGGGUGCGAGCGUUAAUCGGAAUUACUGGGCGUAAAGCGUACGCAGGCGGUUUGUUAAGCGAGAUGUGAAAGCCCCGGGCUCAACCUGGGAACUGCAUUUCGAACUGGCAAACUAGAGUGUGAUAGAGGGUGGUAGAAUUUCAGGUGUAGCGGUGAAAUGCGUAGAGAUCUGAAGGAAUACCGAUGGCGAAGGCAGCCACCUGGGUCAACACUGACGCUCAUGUACGAAAGCGUGGGGAGCAAACAGGAUUAGAUACCCUGGUAGUCCACGCCGUAAACGAUGUCUACUAGAAGCUCGGAGCCUCGGCUCUGUUUUUCAAAGCUAACGCAUUAAGUAGACCGCCUGGGAGUACGGCCGCAAGGUUAAAACUCAAU